UUUGAUAGUCAAGUACGGGAUGAUGUUCCCACAGAAGAAUGUCAUGAAGAUGACUACUGAAACUAUGCAAUGCGAAAUGGAAAGGAGGUUUUAAAUUUUAAGUAGAUUCGAGGGUUGCCCUUGAUGUGUAUUUUGAUAAAGCAGCAGAGUAAUUUUGAUUGAGUAUCAUGCUUUUCAGUGCGCAGUCAAGUGUAUUCAAAGCAAUUUUCAGAAGUAUCACAUAAGUCAUUCCUUCAAAUAUUAAAUGUAAUGUUCAAGUUAUUAAACUGCCAAUGAAUGAGUGAAAUAUGACACAUCAUGACAUUGAAUAUAAACUUUAGCUAUGGUCAAUAUAAUCUAUCUGCGAUUGGGCAUGCAAAUUAUCAUCAACAAAAUUUUCUCCUUUUGGUUCAUUGCCCAUUAAUGGCUGCCUAACUCCACUUGUGUGGUUUCUUCGCAGAUACAGGAGAACAUCAAUCUCUUUUGCCAAACUCGUGAUAACAUCCUCAAAAUUAUGAACAACUUGAAUGACAUGCCAGAAAUGACGAAGCAGAUGCCACCACUUCCAGUGAAGGUAAAUGAAGAACUGGCUAACACCAUCCUUCCUCCUCCAACAAAUCUUGCAAUGCAGUCAUGAUAUUGCCUUCUCCAUUUCCAUCUCUGGUUUUCUAUUCUGUUGACUAUACAUAUGUCAUCAUCAACGUCAACCGCAUGAAAUAACUGUACGUCAAGUUAACUGGUCUUUUUCUGCUUUAUGUGGAGAAGUGCCUAUAUACGGGCAUCAUCAACCUCAGUGACAAAAAAUAACUGCCGAUCAAGUUGACUGAUCUUUUUCCUGUUUUUUUUCUGGAGAAGCUGUUUAGUCUUUUUUUUUUUAUUCUUCUUUUCUCUUAUUUUUUGGUUAACUACAUAUGGUAUAAAGGGAUGGGAGAAACAGUUCAGUCAAUAUAAUUAAUUCUUUUGCUUGGCCC